AGAGACUAUGAUAGGCUCAACUUUAGAAUGUUGCAACUUACUAGAGGAAGGAGACACAAAACUCAGAGCCACAAGCAAUUUGGUGGGAAACUAGGCCUCAAAGCUAAAAAUGAAAAGUCGAUCUGGGGGAAGAUUUUUAAAUAAGUGGGUCAGAGGGACCAAGAGGAGAUGAGGCGAUCAAUCUUAGCCCCCUGACAGCUCCCUCCGAUUGCAUCAAAGAAUUUGGCUCUUUGGGAAAGCAGAGGGAACAGCCUAAAUUCCACGUCCCUUAAAAAGGCCUGAGGGAGGGGGUAGCAAAAAAGAAAGGUGAUUCUGGGAGGGCCAGGAAACAGAUGGGAAAUGGGGACAGAGGGAAGGCGCUAACUUGGGUGGAAAGUUUGCCCCGGAGAACUCCCACGACUCUGGCCUCCCCUCCCCCUCUUCUCUCUCUGCGGCCCAGCCUGAAGGAGAAGGCUGGUUAGCAAAGAAAUGGCAACUCAGCGGAAAACUGGAACUAGAAACUUUCUGUCAAUGUAACGUCUGCGUGGGCGGUGACCCAAUGGUGGUUGGGCUUCUGGUCACGUGACAGCCUCCUUGUAGCUCCGGAAGAGAACCGUGAAGUUUAGGUUGCCUGGAAGAAGCAGCAAUAAGCUAGAUUUUGCUUUGGUUUGAUGUGGGCAGAGGGGUGCAUGGAGGUGGUGGUCUGAGGAAGAAGAAAGGUCAAAAACUGAGAAAAACAGAGAGGCAAAGAGGCUAGCAGACAGCUCAAGAUUCCCUUCCCUCCCCCAACUUGUUACUUAAACCUUAGCUGAAGAACUUGGCAGAAUAGUCUAGACUGCUAUGAAUGUCAAAAACCCAGAGUUUAAACCAGGACAAAAAGCUGGGGAGGGAGACAGAGGCCUGAGUAGUGGACAAAAAUGCCCUCCCUCUUAGGAGAUAUUGGUAAUUAUUGGAACCUUUUCUGUGUAAUCUGAAUUGGCCACCAGGACAAGAUAAAAUUGAUAACAGAAAGUUUAUUCAAGAAUUGUUUUGACAGACAACCCUUUUAACUAAGGAAAAAAGGUAACUACAGAAGAAUAAAGAAAGUUCCAAGAGAGAAUUAACUCUAACUCUACAAAUUCAGGACUGUACAGUGACCAUUAGGAGCUGAGUUCAUGCCUUUUAGAACUAAUUACAAUUGCUCAUAAGUACAAGUUUAACAUAAAUCUACAGCUCUCGUCUAGAAUACAAUAAAAACUAAAAUAGCUGGUUUUACGUGACAGGAAACACAACAUCCUUUGUAACAAGUAAAUACUAAAAAAGUACAUUUUUCCUUUUUUGUUCCUCAUAUAAAUACAUAAUGUAGGGGGGAUAAAUAAUACAAAAAAAGAAAAUAUUUCAACAGGCUAUAACCAAUAAAUAUAUAUGAAAAUGUUCACUAGAACACACGCUUUUUGAGGGAAGCUGGACUUCUGCAGGCCCAGACAUCUCUCACAGUUGUUUUUUUUUUUUAAUAUCCAUUAAAAUGUAAACUCCAAGUGCAACAAGAGAGUGCCCUGUCAGGAACUGGAGCAAGGUACAUAGGCCCAGCCGCUGCUCCUGCCUAGGACAGACAGUUUGUUCAAAUAUACCCUGUUUUCACGUUAAGUCAAGAGAGUAACAGAAGAAAAAGGAAAGUGGAGAGCUUCGAGUGGAUUGCUUUCCAGGGAGAGAGAGUGGGAUGGGGUGGGAGCUGAGAGGAAGCAGAGUGGCAAACCUCCAGUCCUGACAACUUGCCUGCCUUAGUCUCUUAACUUUUUCUUAAAAGAAAAAAAAUAUAUCUAUUUAUAUUAUAGGCAGCUCUAACUUUCAGGAUCUCUCACCAUCCCUGAGCCCUCUGGAACUUGUAAUCAGUAGGGGUGGGGGUAUAGAUAUGAAUGUCCUUAGAGCAGAAUAUCGUGGGGCUAGACAUGGUGGGCAUUACAGGAAGCCUCAAAUAGGUGGGGGCAAAUUGAGGCUUCUGGGGAGUGGGAGGAAAGCAUUUUGUGCCCUUAGAUUUAAAUGUGUUUUCUUAUUUUUCAUAAGGAGAAUGAAAGGGAAGACAAAAAAAAAAAGUCAAGAUUUGGGGGAAUUGCCCACAGAGAUGGAAGG